rnacentral:rRNA from 1 species
GAUUAACGCUGGCGGCGUGCCUAACACAUGCAAGUCGAACGAGGUAGCAAUACCUAGUGGCAGACGGGUGAGUAACGCGUGGUCAACCUACCGUUGAGUGGGGGAUAACUAGCCGAAAGGUUAGCUAAUACCGCAUACGUCUCCGAGGGGCAUCCCUUGGCGAUAAAAGGAGCAAUCCGCUCGAUGACGGGACCGCGUCCCAUUAGCUAGAUGGUGGGGUAACGGCCUACCAUGGCACCGANGGGGUAGCUGGUUUGAGAGAGCGACCAGCCACACUGGGACUGAGAAACGGCCCAGACUCCUACGGGAGGCAGCAGUGAGGAAUUUUCCGCAAUGGGCGCAAGCCUGACGGAGCGACGCCGCGUGUGGGAAGAAGGCCUUCGGUCGUAACC